GACUGUAGCUCAGUGGCAGAGUAUCUGCCUUGCAUGUAGAAGGCUCCCGGGUCAAUUCUUGGAAUCUCCA